CUUGUGAGCGUGCAGUGAGUGCAGAUGUGGAGAAUGGAUUCUACACCAGUGAUGGGAGUGUGAGGGAGCCCCUGGCUCCCCAGGGCACAGCAGCAACCAACAAUGAACACAAAAGGAGCCUCAGAAGAUUCCUGGGUGAACGGUUCAGGCGCCAUCCCGUGGGCACGGCGGUGCUGAUUCUGCUGCUCCUGGUGCUGGUGCUGGCUUUGGGGGCGGCCUUGGCUGUGCAGUCAGCAGCACCACAGGUUCCAGUUACACCUGCGAC